CCCUAGUCCGUAUCGUCUUCGCUUCAUGGUUUCCCUCUGUCUAUAGGAAAGAGAGGUUUUGUUUGCUAAACAGCGCUCUCUCUCCAGGAAAGUGAAGCUUUGUUUGCUAAACAGUUUGGUUUUGUUUUUUCAGCCCCAAUCUCUCAUCGGUCUUCUUCUCUCCUACCUCCACUGCUCUUGCAUUUUCUAAGCAAAAGGCAAGUUUUUUUUGGGUAUCAUGUCCAAAAGGGCCACUCUUCUCUCUCUAAGAGCCAUGGCGUCUUUCUCACAGGUAAGUCCCGCCCACCAUCGGGCUUCUCUCUCGAAGCUUACAGACUCUGCACAAAUACCAUCAUUUUCUACAAAGCCCACCACUUUGAUUAGAUACCUUUCCACAGCAGCUGCAAGAACAGCCUAUCAAACUCAAACUCAUAGUUCCAGAGAGAGCCCAAGAGAUUUUCAGCAAUACCCUAAUGAUUUUUACAGAGAAAUGGGGGGUUUUAACAAUGUUGGUCCUGUUAAAUCUGAUCAAGAAGCAAUAGAGCAGGCCCAAGAUACAGGGCCAAACGGUACUAUAGAGGAGCUGGAUGCUUUUAUGAAAGAUGGUAAGCUCAAAGAAGCUCUAGAAGUUUUGGGGUUAAUGGAAAAACGGGGAGUUUUUGUGGAUAGUGGAUGUUAUCUGAGGCUUUUGAAGGCAUGUGGUGAUUAUAAGUCUAUAGAGGAAGGCAAAGCUGUUCAUGGGCACAUAGAAAGGUCUAGCAAUUCAAGAAUUGAAGUGAGAGUUUAUAAUCAGAUUCUGGAAAUGUAUUCAAAAUGUGGGGCUAUGGAUGAUGCAUAUCAAUUAUUUGAGAAAAUGCCUCAAAGAAACUUGACAUCAUGGGACACCAUGAUACAUGGGUAUGCAAAUAACCUAUUGGGAGAGGAGGCCAUAGAUUUGUUUACUCGUUUUAAAUUGGCAGGUUUAAAGCCUGAUGGCCAAAUGUUUCUUGGGGUUUUCUUGGCUUGUGGUUUCUUGGGAGCAGUAGAUGAGGGGCUUUUGCAUUUGGAAACAAUGAGUAGAGACUUUGGAAUUACACCCAACAUGGACCAUUAUGUGGGCAUGGUUGAUUUGUUUGGAAAAUCGGGUUACCUUAAUGAAGCACUAGAAUUCAUUGAGAACAUUCCAAUUGAACCUAGUGUAGAUGUAUGGGAGAGAUUAAUGAAUCUAAGUAGAGUUCAUGGUGACCAAGAAAUGGGGGAUGUGUGUGCUAAAUAUGUCGAACUAUUGGAUCCGUCUAGGCUUAACGAACAGUCAAAAAAGGGUCUUUUGCCCAUUAAAGUUGAAGCAAAGGAAAGGGAGGUGAAGAAAAGUAGUGCAGAAAGCCUUAGAGAGGUAAGGAGCAGGGUUCAUGAGUAUAGAGCGGGGGACACUUCCCACCCUGAGAAGGACAAGAUUUAUGCUCAAUUGAAGGGUUUGAGUGGGCAAAUGAAGGAAGCUGGUUAUGUACCAGACACUCGUUUUGUGCUCCAUGAUGUGGACCAGGAAUCAAAGGAGGAAGCUUUGCUUUAUCACAGUGAGAGGCUUGCUAUUGCUUAUGGUCUCCUUAGUAGCCCAGCUUGUUCUCCAAUUCGUAUAAUUAAGAACCUUAGGAUUUGUGGAGAUUGCCACAGUGCAUUGAAGAUAGUAUCAAAACUUGUUGGAAGGGAGCUCAUUGUGAGAGAUGCCAAGAGAUUUCAUCAUUUCAAGGAUGGUUUGUGUUCUUGCAGGGAUUAUUGGUAAACAAGUCCUGAAAACAAAGUUACAUAGAGAAGUGGGUGCAAAAGCGGAAAUUUCGGUGAGGACUGAGGCUAUGGACCUUCAUAUGGGUAAGCUUCUGUAGGUCUCAAUUCUAAUUUGCAAAUGGAAUUGCAAUUUGGAAACUGAAUCAGGCAAGGGAAACAAAACUUCUUGUAGAACGCAUACGACCGAUUGUAAAGAAAAGUCAUAGUACUUCCACAGUAAUGGGUAGCUCAGUGCAUUAUAUAGGCAAGGCUUCCCAAAAAAUUUCUUCAAGAACUCAAGGACAACGAGCUAGGAAAUGCGAAAGGUUUACGGUGGAGAGAUCUUCACUAUGUACUAGUCCUAACAGGAGAGGAUCCGAAGGAGUAUUCCUAAAGAUGAGUCAUUCUCCAAAUGAAGUUCUCAUCCAAUCAUGUUUGAGGAUAGUGUGGAUGCCAAUAAUUUCUGAUCUCUAUUGGAAUCAAUUUUUCAAAGAUUUAAGUGAUGCCCAUGACGAGGCUGUUCCUUUUGACAAAGUUUGGGGAUCGUCAGCUCGUGGAUGUAGCAAUAUUGUUCUUUUCAGCCAUUAAUCAUUUAUUCUUGUGCCUGUACUCUUCAAUUUAUGAAGAGCAGUGUAAUGGGAUAUUUUGGGUGACUCAUGGCAUGGAGUUCAAUAGUGAAUAUCACAUUUAUUUCAUGUGGGUUAAGGACUUUCUCAUCUAUAUUGGUUUAUCUAGAUAUAGUCAGACUUUGGAAUCAAGCAAACUACUUCCCCCAAUUGUUUCAAGUAAUCGGGUUCACAGCCUUCAUUUGGUGAGUUUAAGUAGCUUUAUUUGUAUGAUAUUUUUCAAGAUAAAAAAUUGAUAUUAUUGCAACUAGAUUUCUGUGAUGGCAACUGUUAUUGAUUCAUCUCCUUCUGGGUUUCAAUAUUUUGUAAUUGUGGGAUGAUGUUUUGCAGGGAUAUGCAAUACUUGAAUAUAUUAAAAUAUUUUUCCUUUCAUAAGAAUCUACUACAAUGGAUGAGAAUUCUAAAAUAAUAUUAUGAGAUUGGAUUCAGUCGAAGAAUAUACAUCAGAUGAUUUUUUUCCUGAUAAUAUGCCUUUACUCUAAUUUAGGAUAAUUGAGCAUCUCACAUUAUUCAUCACUCAUCAGCUGUCUUGUUCCUCAUUGAAUAGAAACUGGGCUACAAAAUAGGCUGCAUGGAUAUAUGUUAGAUUUCUCAAGCACUAGUGUUUUCAGUCGAUGUUGUCUAAGGUUUGAGCCGACUACCAUACUACUACCUUCUAUUGUGGAUUAUUUUGUCAUGAUAUCUACCUGCGAGCUCUUCUGUGAUUCUAUUUCUAACUGCACCCUUUUAUAAUACUUUCAUCGACGUGAGUUGGAGCGAAAUGCUCCUUUGAAUGGGAAGAGUUAAGAUUGUUUGUCUAAGGCCUCCUCAAGAGUUCAAUCACCCUUGAUGAUUUUCCCAACAUCCCGUGAUCCUCUUUGCUUCGAAUUGCAACUAAGGAAUUGCUUCAGUGGUUAGAGAUGUGCAUCCUAACAAGAUGUUUGCGGGCAUGCCUGCUGUGGAUGUCGUAUGUGUGAAGCCAAAUUACAUGUGUGCCACUGUGGCAGAUAUGCGUGUUGUAUUUUUACUUUUCAUUAUCUUGUUUUUAGCUAAUCAGAUUAAUCCAAUGGUUGUAGUGAAUGAGUCAUUGUAGAAGCUAUUCUCGUAAAAGGAAUUGAAAAUCCUUUUGGUUAGAGAAAGAAAGUGAGAGUAUGAGUUCUCUUGUGGGUUUAUUGUGUGCCACGUUCAAGAGAUAAAGAGUGUGAAAGAGGAACCCAUUGCAUUGGGUUUAGCUGUGCUGUAUAAGGGACAUUUUAGGGAAAGAAAGAGCUCUUUGUUUGAGGGCCUUGUUUCUCAUUGUAACCUCGUAUCAUUCUGCCAAGGA